rnacentral:piRNA from 1 species
UAGCCUGAGAACAAACACACUGGAGAA